rnacentral:rRNA from 1 species
UACGGAGGGUGCAAGCGUUAUCCGGAUUUACUGGGUUUAAAGGGCUCGUAGGCGGCCAACUAAGUCGGAUGUGAAAUCCCCAAGCUUAACUUGGGAACUGCAUCCGAUACUGGAUGGCUUGAAUCCGGGAGAGGGAUGCAGAAUUCCAGGUGUAGCGGUGAAAUGCGUAGAUAUCUGGAGGAAUACCGGUGGCGAAGGCGGCAUCCUGGACCGGCAUUGACGCUGAGGAGCGAAAGCGUGGGGAGCAAACAGGG